UCCCUCCAUUCCAAUGCAGGCAGCCAGAGGGGAGCAUUGCCAGCUUGGUUGCCACGGUGUCCUGUCAGCCUUCUGGCCAUUAGGGGGAGAACUCGAUUUGUGCAACAGUCCGGAGUCUCUCAAAGGACGGAAAACUCGAGCCCGCUGACCUCUGCUGGGAGCCCUAGAAAUCAGAAUCCAGUUGUUUUCUGCAUCCUUGCCUACCCUGGUACAGAAGGAAUGACGUGCACUCCACAGAGAGGAUACACAGCCCUAAGGAUCGUGAUCUGGACACAGAACUUUAUUCACUGAACGUGCUCAGAGGGGAGAGUUUGAGAACCGAAGUGACUUGCCCUAAAUCACAUAACUAAGGAUCUGAACUGAGGCUUGAACAUGGAAGACCUUGGUUCCCAGGACUCCACACUUUGGCUAGGAUGCAGCUUCAGACAUGACAUCCAUCAGAGGAUUAGAACUGUAAAAAUAAAACAUCUUGUCAAGGCUCCAUAUGCUAUGUCAAGAACAAGACUUAUUGCAAAACAAAUUUACUUACACUUAGAAAUUUAUGAUAUAUCAUCUAAUUCAUCUUUUCUCUCAAAGCUAAUAGAACAUUUGGCAAGUUAGUCCUCAGAGAAGUUGGGAUGUUAGGCUCCAUCUUAACAUGGUGCAAAGGAGCUCAAUCUAUGCAGAAAAAGAGAAAGGCAAUUCCCUCCACCCCCUAAGGAUUUAUUGUUUUCCUCUCCAUCUAAGCACAGGGCCAAGAGCAUUCAUUCCUCACUAGCUCCAUCCAGUAGCCAUUAUCAGUCUACCUCUAUUUAGGAACAGGCAAACCCAGCUUUAAGGAGUAGCUUUGCUUAGGAGCCCAGUGACCCCAAAGCUUUCUCAAUCAUGCUGCUUGUCCCCUAACAGAAUGUUAGCCCUUUGAGGGCUUAAUUGUUGUUUCUGUAUUCUCAGCACUUAGCAUGGUAUAUGGCCACAGUGAUUGGGUAAGAAAUGCUUGAUGAUGAUUCGCUAAUUAAAGCAUGGUGACAUCUCUAGGCAGCUCAGUUACUGAUUCU